rnacentral:rRNA from 1 species
GACUACGGGAGGCUGCAGUGGGGAAUAUUGGACAAUGGGGGGAACCCUGAUCCAGCCAUGCCGCGUGUGUGAAGAAGGCCCUCGGGUUGUAAAGCACUUUCAGUGAGGAAGAACGCCUGGUGGUUAAUACCCAUCAGGAAAGACAUCACUCACAGAAGAAGCACCGGCUAACUCCGUGCCAGCAGCCGCGGUAAUACGGAGGGUGCGAGCGUUAAUCGGAAUUACUGGGCGUAAAGCGCGCGUAGGUGGCUUGAUAAGCCGGUUGUGAAAGCCCCGGGCCCAACCUGGGAACGGCAUCCGGAACUGUCAAGCUAGAGUGCAGGAGAGGAAGGUAGAAUUCCCGGUGUAGCGGUGAAAUGCGUAGAGAUCGGGAGGAAUACCAGUGGCGAAGGCGGCCUUCUGGACUGACACUGACACUGAGGUGCGAAAGCGUGGGUAGCAAACAGGAUUAGAUACCCUAGUAGUC